UUGCUCCCAUCAGUCAGCGGCGGACGGGUGAGUAACACGUGGGUAACCUGCCUGUAAGACUGGGAUAACUCCGGGAAACCGGGGCUAAUACCGGAUAACUCAUUUCCUCGCAUGAGGAAAUGUUGAAAGGUGGCUUUUAGCUAUCACUUACAGAUGGACCCGCGGCGCAUUAGCUAGUUGGUGAGGUAACGGCUCACCAAGGCGACGAUGCGUAGCCGACCUGAGAGGGUGAUCGGCCACACUGGGACUGAGACACGGCCCAGACUCCUACGGGAGGCAGCAGUAGGGAAUCUUCCGCAAUGGACGAAAGUCUGACGGAGCAACGCCGCGUGAGUGAUGAAGGUUUUCGGAUCGUAAAACUCUGUUGUUAGGGAAGAACAAGUACCGUUCGAAUAGGGCGGUACCUUGACGGUACCUAACCAGAAAGCCACGGCUAACUACGUGCCAGCAGCCGCGGUAAUACGUAGGUGGCAAGCGUUGUCCGGAAUUAUUGGGCGUAAAGCGCGCGCAGGUGGUUCCUUAAGUCUGAUGUGAAAGCCCACGGCUCAACCGUGGAGGGUCAUUGGAAACUGGG
rnacentral:rRNA from 1 species